ACGUUAGGAGUAUGAUUAAGUAUGUUGUCUUUCCAAGUCAAAGGUCCUCUUGGCUAGCGUA
rnacentral:tRNA from 1 species